rnacentral:siRNA from 1 species
UGUCAAGAUGGUCCAACAUGAUAC